rnacentral:tRNA from 1 species
UGGGGUAUAGCUUGGUGGCAGAGCACUUGCUUAGCAUGCAUGAGGUCUUGGUUCAAUUCCCAGUACUGCUG